rnacentral:rRNA from 1 species
CAGCAGCCGCGGUAAUACGAAGGGGGCUAGCGUUGCUCGGAAUGACUGGGCGUAAAGGGCGCGUAGGCGGCGGCCAAAGUCAGGCGUGAAAUUCCUGGGCUCAACCUGGGGGCUGCGCUUGAUACUUGGUUGCUUGAGUGGGGAAGAGGGUCGUGGAAUUCCCAGUGUAGAGGUGAAAUUCGUAGAUAUUGGGAAGAACACCGGUGGCGAAGGCGGCGACCUGGUCCUUGACUGACGCUGAGGCGCGAAAGCGUGGGGAGCAAACAGGAUUAGAUACCCCUGUAGUCCCUGUCUCUUAUAC